GCCCGGCUAGCUCAAUUGGUAGAGCAUGAGACUCUUAAUCUCAGAGUCGCGGGUUCAUGCCCCAGGCG
rnacentral:tRNA from 1 species